AGGGAGAAUAUGCGAGCACAUCAAGAGAUGCCCCCUAUGGCUAACCAGGGUAUGCAGAACUCAGGACCCACAGCUCCUCCCAACAUGGGUGGUAUGCCUCCAAACAGCAAUAUGGGUGGUAUGCCUCCAAACAGCAAUAUGGGUGGUAUGCCUCCAAACAGCAAUAUGGGUGGUAUGCCUCCAAACAGCCAUAUGGGUGGUAUGCCUCCAAACAGCAAUUUGGGUGGUAUGCCUCCUAACAGCAAUAUGGGUGGUAUGGCUCCUAACAGCAUGGGUGGGAUGCCCACGAACAACAAUAUAGGUGGUAUGGCUCCGAACAACAUGGGUGGGAUGCCCCCGAACAACAAUAUGGGUGGUAUGCCUCCGAACAACAUGGGUGGGAUGCCCCCGAACAACAAUAUGGGUGGUAUGCCUCCGAACAACAUGGGUGGGAUGCCCCCGAACAACAAUAUGGGUGGCAUGCCUCCCAAUAACAUGGGUGGGAUGCCCCCAAACAACAUGGGUCGAAUGCCUCCCAACAUGGGUGGGAUGC
rnacentral:lncRNA from 1 species